rnacentral:rRNA from 1 species
GACGAACGCUGGCGGCGUGCUUAACACAUGCAAGUCGAACGGUGAAGCGCCUUCCUUUUUGGUGGGUGUGGAUGAGUGGCGAACGGGUGAGUAACACGUGAGUAACCUGCCCCCUUCUUCUGGAUAACCGCAUGAAAGUGUGGCUAAUACGGGAUAUUCUGGGUCUGUCGCAUGAUGGGUCUGGGAAAGAUAUUGUUUCGGUGGGGGAUGGGCUCGCGGCCUAUCAGCUUGUUGGUGGGGUGAUGGCCUACCAAGGCGGUGACGGGUAGCCGGCCUGAGAGGGUGGACGGUCACACUGGGACUGAGACACGGCCCAGACUCCUACGGGAGGCAGCAGUGGGGAAUAUUGCACAAUGGGCGCAAGCCUGAUGCAGCGACGCCGCGUGAGGGAUGGAGGCCUUCGGGUUGUGAACCUCUUUCGCCGGUGAAGCAGGCCUGCCUCGUUUGUGGGUGGGUUGACGGUAGCUGGAGAAGAAGCGCCGGCUAACUACGUG